UCGUACAGGUAGCCGUAGAUGACGUACUUGUACUGAUUGAAAUUUUAACACGAAGUGAGUGGCGAACGGGUGAGUAACACGUGGGUAACCUGCCCAGAAGUAGGGGAUAACACCUGGAAACAGAUGCUAAUACCGUAUAACAGAGAAAACCGCAUGGUUUUCUUUUAAAAGAUGGCUCUGCUAUCACUUCUGGAUGGACCCGCGGCGUAUUAGCUAGUUGGUGAGGUAAAGGCUCACCAAGGCAGUGAUACGUAGCCGACCUGAGAGGGUAAUCGGCCACAUUGGGACUGAGACACGGCCCAGACUCCUACGGGAGGCAGCAGUAGGGAAUCUUCCACAAUGGACGCAAGUCUGAUGGAGCAACGCCGCGUGAGUGAAGAAGGGUUUCGGCUCGUAAAGCUCUGUUGUUAAAGAAGAACGUGGGUAAGAGUAACUGUUUACCCAGUGACGGUAUUUAACCAGAAAGCCACGGCUAACUACGUGCCAGCAGCCGCGGUAAUACGUAGGUGGCAAGCGUUAUCCGGAUUUAUUGGGCGUAAAGCGAGCGCAGGCGGUCUUUUAAGUCUAAUGUGAAAGCCUUCGGCUCAACCGAAGAAGUGCAUUGGAAACUGGGAGACUUGAGUGCAGAAGAGGACAGUGGAACUCCAUGUGUAGCGGUGAAAUGCGUACAUAUAUGGAAGAACACCAGUGGCGAAGGCGGCUGUCUGGUCUGCAACUGACGCUGAGGCUCGAAAGCAUGGGUAGCGAACAGGAUUAGAU
rnacentral:rRNA from 1 species